AACUGAUUAAGCUGAAGGCCAAGAGCAGAGGAAAGACCAGCAAACCACCUCAUGCUAACAGCAGCAGCAACAACAAGAACAACAACAGCAGCAGCAACAACAAGAACAACAGCAGCAGCAGCAGCAACAACAAGAACAAAAACAGCAGCAGCAGCAACAACCACAAAACCAGUAACAACCAAACCCCCAGAUUCUGUUGACCAAGAAAAGAAGGAUCCAGAGGCCCUGAGCUCAGGAAGUGUUGCUGCCAUCGUAAUUGUCUUUAUUGCCAUUGUACUAAUUUUACUUGUUGGUGCGUACUACUUCAAAAUGCGACGCUCUUCUUACAGACGUCUUUUGGAUGAUAGCGAUCACAACUCUGUGGGGAAUUUUCUUAACCCAGUGUUUGAUGGCUAAAUGGGGAAGCGUUGAUGAAGAAACAUUUUCUAAAGAAAACAACCUACACGUCUUUAGCAAUGAAUAUGAUAACAUCAGAUUCAGUAUUUUGAACCCAAAAUAAGAUGCACUGACCAGAAUCAUCAAGAAGUUUUAGAGUGUAGGCAAGACUUCCUGUGAGUAUUAGUAUGAAGGCAGGUUGCAGGGCAUUUUGGUCCCGUUCAAAGGAAAUUUUAAGUGAUGUCCUAGAAAUUUCUUUUUUAUUUGUUUGUGUAAUGUAUCACCUUGGGUAUAUUUUUCGACUUUUUCACGUUGCUUUUUCUGUUUGUCUUAUGAUCAUUUUUUUAAGAGUAAAUAAACCACAUUACUAACAUUAGCUGUAUUUUUCUAAAUCGAAGCCUCACAUCUCAAACAGGCCACAUGCUAUCAUUAUUGGUCUCAAAGAGUGACCUUAUCAUAUACCAUAAUUACAGCUCUGGCCUCAGCUGUGGCCUCCCACUAUUCAUCCAAAGACAGCCUCUUUUUUUUAAACACGAAGACCGUUUAACAUUUCUGUAAUCUCAACAAUAACAGAUUUUUCCCCCUUGUCAUUGUAAUGGCAGGGAUCCACAAGCAGCAUGCAAUUAAGCAUUUAAACCGUCAAGACUGUUAUUAGAGACUUAAAAAUAAGCCAUCAAGCAAAUGAAGGCACAUUAACAAAACAUCUGGUGUUCUGGCCUGUUUGAGAUCGAGUUAAGUUAGUCGUGCUACAGCAGUUUACCACAUCCAGAAAUGUAUUUUUGAAUGUUUAAAACCACUUAUGUAGCUUCCUCUCCUAGUUUUUUGUUACCUGUUUAACAGCAAACGCUGUUUCCUGUUUUUGCAAAUGCUCUAGUUUCAAGAAUGGUAUAAACCACAGGAGCAUUGUUUAAAUCACUGGUCUAAAGCAGCAGCAACUAAUUGUAAAACUGUCAAUGUCAAAUUAUUGUAUUAAAAAUCGCUAAUA
ensembl:lncRNA